rnacentral:rRNA from 1 species
UUUUGUGGAGGGUUCGAUUCUGGCUCAGGAUGAACGCUGGCGGCGUGCUUAACACAUGCAAGUCGAACGGGAUCCAUCAGGCUUUGCUUGGUGGUGAGAGUGGCGAACGGGUGAGUAAUGCGUGACCGACCUGCCCCAUACACCGGAAUAGCUCCUGGAAACGGGUGGUAAUGCCGGAUGCUCCGACUCCUCGCAUGGGGUGUCGGGAAAGAUUUCAUCGGUAUGGGAUGGGGUCGCGUCCUAUCAGGUAGUCGGCGGGGUAACGGCCCACCGAGCCUACGACGGGUAGCCGGCCUGAGAGGGCGACCGGCCACAUUGGGACUGAGAUACGGCCCAGACUCCUACGGGAGGCAGCAGUGGGGAAUAUUGCACAAUGGGCGCAAGCCUGAUGCAGCGACGCCGCGUGCGGGAUGACGGCCUUCGGGUUGUAAACCGCUUUUGAUCGGGAGCAAGCCUCGGGUGAGUGUACCUUUCGAAUAAGCACCGGCUAACUACGUGCCAGCAGCCGCGGUAAUACGUAGGGUGCAAGCGUUAUCCGGAAUUAUUGGGCGUAAAGGGCUCGUAGGCGGUUCGUCGCGUCCGGUGUGAAAGUCCAUCGCUUAACGGUGGAUCUGCGCCGGGUACGGGCGGGCUGGAGUGCGGUAGGGGAGACUGGAAUUCCCGGUGUAACGGUGGAAUGUGUAGAUAUCGGGAAGAACACCAAUGGCGAAGGCAGGUCUCUGGGCCGUUACUGACGCUGAGGAGCGAAAGCGUGGGGAGCGAACAGGAUUAGAUACCCUGGUAGUCCACGCCGUAAACGGUGGAUGCUGGAUGUGGGGCCCGUUCCACGGGUUCCGUGUCGGAGCUAACGCGUUAAGCAUCCCGCCUGGGGAGUACGGCCGCAAGGCUAAAACUCAAAGAAAUUGACGGGGGCCCGCACAAGCGGCGGAGCAUGCGGAUUAAUUCGAUGCAACGCGAAGAACCUUACCUGGGCUUGACAUGUUCCCGACAGCCGUAGAGAUAUGGCCUCCCUUCGGGGCGGGUUCACAGGUGGUGCAUGGUCGUCGUCAGCUCGUGUCGUGAGAUGUUGGGUUAAGUCCCGCAACGAGCGCAACCCUCGCCCUGUGUUGCCAGCACGUCAUGGUGGGAACUCACGGGGGACCGCCGGGGUCAACUCGGAGGAAGGUGGGGAUGACGUCAGAUCAUCAUGCCCCUUACGUCCAGGGCUUCACGCAUGCUACAAUGGCCGGUACAACGGGAUGCGACACGGCGACGUGGAGCGGAUCCCUGAAAACCGGUCUCAGUUCGGAUUGGAGUCUGCAACCCGACUCCAUGAAGGCGGAGUCGCUAGUAAUCGCGGAUCAGCAACGCCGCGGUGAAUGCGUUCCCGGGCCUUGUACACACCGCCCGUCAAGUCAUGAAAGUGGGUAGCACCCGAAGCCGGUGGCCUAACCCUUUGUGGAUGGAGCCGUCUAAGGUGAGACUCGUGAUUGGGACUAAGUCGUAACAAGGUAGCCGUACCGGAAGGUGCGGCUGGAUCACCUCCUUUCUACGGAG